AUUACGUAGAGGGGUAGGAUAAAGAC
rnacentral:piRNA from 1 species